CCAAAAAGAUCAUCAAGGACAACAACCACCGAGCCACUGCCUGUUCACCCUGCUAUCACCCAGAAGGCGAGGUCAGUACAGGUGCAUCAAAGCUGGGACCGAGAGACUGAAAAACAGCUUCUAUCUCAAGGCCAUCAGACUGUUAAACAGCCACCACUAACAUCGAGUGGCUGCUGCCAACAUACUGACUCAACUCCAGCUCACUUUAAUAAUGGGAAUUGAUGGAAAUUGAUCAAAAAUGUAUCACUAGCCACUUUAAACAAUGCCACUUAAUAUAAUGUAUAUGUUUAUACUGUACUCCAUAUCAUCUACUGCAUCUUGCCAUCUUAAUGUAAUACAUGUAUCACUAGCCACUUUAAACUAUGCACUUUUAUGUUUACAUACCCUACAUUACUCAUCUCAUAUGUAUAUGUUUAUACUGUACUCUAUAUCAUCUACUGCAUCUUGCCAUCUUUAUGUAAUACAUGUAUCACUAGCCACUUUAAACUAUGCACUUUUAUGUUUACAUACCCUACAUUACUCAUCUCAUAUGUAUAUGUAUACACUGUACUCUAUAUCAUCUACUGCAUCUUGCCAUCUUUAUGUAAUACAUGUAUCACUAGCUACUUUAAACUAUGCACUUUUAUGUUUACAUACCCUACAUUACUCAUCUCAUAUGUAUAUGUAUAUACUGUACUCUAUAUCAUCUACUGCAUCUUGCCAUCUUUAUGUAAUACAUGUAUCACUAGCCACUUUAAACUAUACCACUUUAUGUUUAUAUACCCUACAUUACUCAUCUCAUAUGUAUAUACUGUACUCGAUACCAUCUACUGCAUCUUGCCUAUGCCGUUCUGUACCAUCACUCAUUCAUAUAUCUUUAUGUACAUAUUCUUUAUCCCUUUACACUUGUGUGUGUAUAAGGUAGUAGUUGUGGAAUUCUUAGGUUAGAUUACUCGUUGGUUAUUACUGCAUUGUCGGAACUAGAAGCACAAGCAUUUCGCUACACUCGCAUUAACAUCUGCUAACCAUGUGUAUGUGACAAAUCAAAUUUGAUUUGAUGUUGGGUUGAUUCUCUCCUUCCAUGUUUUGGGUGUAAAUAAUUCCCUCCUUGCAAAAUACAGGAAACUACUUCUGUUGAGAUUAAGUGUUUUAUAGACGCGUCAACCAGCUAGGUGUUCUAACAAGCAAAGCAGAGUAUUGUACAAGGCAAAGCGUGUAUUAACAUGUGCAGGAUGUGCCUCUGUGCUGCUCUUCAUAGUCUACUUCAUACCUACAUCAAUAAGGUACUUUGAGGGCUUAAUCCCCAUGAACCGAUGUCAUCUAGCCCCUGGAGAGAAGCUGAAGCUGGGGAAUAGUAUAGAUGCUUCCCUAGACC